AGUGUGUAGAACAGCAGAGAGAACUGCCUGCUCCUUCAUCUUUAUAUGUUCUCAUUUUGCCCAAGACCUUUGGGCAGAGCAGGACAUUAAAGAUUCUUUUCAAGAAGCGAUUCUGAAAAAAUAUGGAAAAUGUGGACAUGACAAUUUACAGUUACAAAAAGGCUAUAAAAGUGUGGAUGAGUGUAAGGUACACAAAGAAGAUGAUAACAAACUAAACCUGUGUUUGAUAACUACCAAGAGCAAUAUAUUUCAAUGUGAUCCAUAUGAAAAAGUCUUUCAUACAUUUUCAAAUUGAAAUAGACAUAAGAUAAGACAUACUAGAAAGAAACCUUUCAAAUGUAAAAAAUGUGAAAAAUCAUUCUGCAUGCUUUUACACCUAACUCGACAUAAAAGAUUUCAUAUUACAGAGAAUUCCUACCAAUGUGAAGAUUGUGGCAAAGCCUUCAACUGCUUCUCAAUUCUUACUGAACACAGGAGAAUUCAUACUGGAGAGAAAUCCUACAAAUGUGAAGAAUGUGAGAAAGAAUUUAAACGGUCCUCACACCUUACUACACAUAAGAUAAUUCAUACUGGAGAGAAACCGUACAGAUGUGAAGAAUGUGGGAAGGCCUUUAACUGGUGUUCACACCUCACUACACAUAGAAGAAUUCAUAUUGGAGAGAAACCCUACAAAUGUGAAGAAUGUGGCAAAGCUUUUCACCAAUCCUCAACCCUAACUGCCCAUAAGAUAACUCAUGCUGGAGAGAAGCCCUACAAAUGUGAAGAAUGUGGCAAAGCUUUUGCAAGAUUCUCAUACCUUAAGAACCAUAAGAUAAGUCAUACUGGAGAUAAAUUCUACAAAUGUGAAGAAUGUGGCAAAGUCUUUAACCACUCCUCAACUCCUACUACACAUAAGAGAAUUCAUACUGGAGAGAAACCCUACAAAUGUGAAAAAUGUGGCAAAGCCUUUAACUAGUCCUCAACUCUUACUAAACAUAAAAAAAUUCAUGCUAGAGAGAACCCCUGUUAGUGUGAAGAAUAUGGCAAAGCCUUUAAUAAGUUCUCAAUUCUUAACAGAUAUAAGAUAAUUCAUACUAGAGAUAAUUUCUAUAAACCAGAAAGAUGUGACAGGGCUUUUGAAAACACCUCAAACUUUUCUAAACAUAAAAGAAAUCAUAGUGUUGAGAAAUCCUAGAAAUGUGAAGAAUAUGAUAAAGUUUUAAAUGGUUGUCACACUUGAUUGUAGGUAAGAUAAGUUAUACUGGAGAAAACUUCUACAUGUGUGAACAGUGUGACAAAACUUUUAACCAGUGCGCACACCUUACUUCACAGGAAAGCAUUUAUACUUGAGAGAUAUUGUACAAAUAUAAAGACUGUGAAAAAGCCAUUAAUACAUGCUCACAUCUUACUCAACAUCAGAGAGUUCAUACUUAAUAAAAACAUUAUAAGUGCAACUACUGUCAAAAUAUCUUUAAGAAAAUGGAAGCCUCUAAAGUAAAGAAGAUUAUUUUAAAGAAGAACAUUGUAGUAGGGUUGUAAUAUGUUUACUUGUGUCACAGAUCUUAUUGUACACAUUUUGUAUUAGAGGAAACCUCAGAAGCAAUUGCUCAAACUUUGUUUAAUAUCAGGGAAUUUAUAUUGAAAAAAAAACCCUGCAAAUGUAAUAAAUUUGGAAAAAUACUUUUUCAAAAACUACAGCUUAGAAAACACCAGAGAGUUCAUACUAAAACAUAUUUUUGCAGAUGCAGUAAAAAUUUAAAGAAAUUUUAAUACAAAAUUAAGUCUAUGUAAAUAUCAGAGAAUUUACAGUAGAAAUAUAUAAGGCACUGACACUUCAGAUAUUAUACUAAAUCACAGUGCUCAUGAUAGAAAAUAAUCUAAAACUAAAGUUGAUAGAAAAAUUAUUCAUAUGUAAGUUUAAAAGAAUUUUUUGCAGAAUUAUAAUUACAUUCAAAGUAUGCUUAACUUUUGGAAAACAUAGAUUUUUUGAAAAGUGAAUAAUGAUGUAAUUCAAUUCUCAAAUUAUUUCCUGCUGUUUCUUCAUUCCUAUUUACAUGUGAGAGCAUGUGAUGAAUUGUUGCUGCAUCCAAGAUAUGAGAGAUUCUUUUUUAUUAGGUGAGCAUUAUUUAUAAACUUUGUUAUGAAAAUGUAAGGACAUUAAAAUGUAAGAUGCAUGAUGAAAAUCUAAGUGAAGAGACCUUUGUGGUUAACUUAUAAUAUUGAGUAAUGUGUGAGUUAAGUGUUCAGUCAUAUUCUUCUGUAUUAUGAGAAGAAAACAUUUUUAAUUUCAUAAGUAAAUUAAAAUUUAGUAUAUUGUACUAAUUAUACUUUUAUAUAAAAUGCAGUAUAUUUUGAAAAUUUCAGAUUAUAUGUGAUGUUAAUAUAUUCAACAUCUUUAACAUUUUAAAUACUGUUGUGCAUUCAGUGAAGUGUUAUGUAACAAACAUUAAUUCCCCCUUACUCAAGGUUGUACAUAAAAUAUGGUAAUAAUAUACUAUUUGUUAACAUAAUGGAUUAACUUCUCUAGUACUUUUGCCAGUGGCUUUGACUGCAAAUAAGUUAAACAAUAUUAUUUCUUUAAAUUAAAUUUUUGUUUCUAUUUUAUUUAAUUUUUUUUGAGAGGGAGUCUUGCUCUGUCACGCAGUCUGGAGUGCAGUGGCACAAUCUCAGCUCACUGCAACCUUGCCUCCUGGGUUCAAGCAAUUCUUCUGCCUCAAUCUCCCAAGUAGCUGGGAUUACAGGCACCCGCCACCACACCCAGCUAAUUUUUGUAUUUUAGUAGAGACAGGGUUUCACUAUGCAGGUCAAGCUGGUCUCAAACUCCUGACCUCAAAUGAUCCACACGUCUCGGCCUCCCAAAGUGCUGGGAUUACAGGUGUGAGUCACCAUGCCCAGCCAAAUUUUUAUUUUAUUUAAAUUUAUUUUUCUUAAUUAUUUGGGGUACAUAAUAUGAGUAUAUAUUCAUGCAAUAUAUGGCAUAUUUUGAUACAAGAAUACACUAUAUAAUAAUCACACCAGGGUAAAUGAGGUAUCCAUCACCUCUAGUAUUUAUCUUUUUUUUUUUGUUGAGACAGAGUCUUGUUGUGCUGCCCAGGCUAGAGGGCAGUGGUGCAAGCUUGGCUCACUGCAACCUCCACCUCCUGGGUUCAAAUGAUUCUUCUACCUCAGCCUCCUGAGUAGCUGGGAUUACAGGCAUGCACCACCAUGCCCAGCUAAUUUUUGUGUUUUUAGUGGAGACAGGGUUUCACCUUGUUGGUCAGGCUGGUCUCAAACUCCUGAACUCACGAUCUGCCUGCCUUGGCCUCCCAAAGUGCUGGGAUUACAGGUGUGAGCCACCGUGCCCGGCUUAGCAUUUAUCCUUUGUAUAACAAACAAUCCAAUUGUAUGCUUUUAGUUAUUUAAAGAUGUACAUUUAAAUUGUUAUUGAUUACAGUGUAAUUUUUAUGGUCAAAAUAAAAGUUAUGUAGAAAUAUGAAUAAAAUCCAUACAUUUCUGAGUCCUGAAUAAAUAUUUUUAAAGU